CCAAACCUGAAGAGGGAAGAGAAAAAGCCUAGGACUAUGUGAAAAAAAAAAAAAUCAGUGCAGUUAGCAAAGAUGUCACUGGGAACGUAUGAUUUACAAGCAGAUGGUGGAAGAUAAUACAGCCAGAGAAUCAUAAGCUGGAAGGGUACUGUAGGAGAUUAUGUCUACACUCAUCCCUCAAAAGCGGUGGGAUGGGGUGGGGUAGGGCUGGGGGUGGGGAGCUAGAUGAGGCAGUUACUGCGUGGGUGUGGUACUGCCUUUAUUUCUAGAAUAGUGCACUCAAACAAUAGUGACUUUCAAAUACCAUGGUAUUUCAGAACAUGCAGUGGAAACCCAGGAAGUUUAACGUUAAUACGGGACAGACAAGGUCUCGGGUCCAGCUCCCUGUCUGCAGGCACAUUUCUCUAUGAAAACUACUAUAUAUUUUUUUCUGAUUGAAUUUAAAAUAUAUUCCAUUCCAACAAAA